rnacentral:rRNA from 1 species
UACGUAGGUGGCAAGCGUUGUCCGGAUUUACUGGGCGUAAAGAGCGCGCAGGCGGUCGUUCAAGUCGCGUGUGAAAGCCCCCGGCUCAACUGGGGAGGGUCACGCGAUACUGAUCGACUGGAAGGCAGGAGAGGGUAGUGGAAUUCCCGGUGUAGUGGUGAAAUGCGUAGAUAUCGGGGGGAACACCGAUGGCGAAGGCAAUCCCCUGGACCUGUACUGACGCUCAUGCACGAAAGCGUGGGGAGCAAACAGG